UACGGGGGGGGCAAGCGUUGUUCGGAAUUACUGGGCGUAAAGGGCUCGUAGGCGGCCAACUAAGCCAGACGUGAAAUCCCUCAGCUUAACUGGGGAACUGCGUCUGAUACUGGAUGGCUUGGAUUCGGGAGAGGAAUGCGGAAUUCCAGGUGUAGCGGUGAAAUGCGUAGAUAUCUGGAGGAACACCGGUGGCGAAGGCGGCAUUCUGGACCGAUAUUGACGCUGAGGAGCGAAAGCCAGGGGAGCAAACGGG
rnacentral:rRNA from 1 species